UGGUGUCAUGGAGAAUAGAGGUCUUCACAGUGCACCCGAGACCCGUCGGCCCCGGACCCGACCCCGGACCCGUACGGGUUCGGGUCUAUAUUUUAAAUGAACAGCCGAGUCUGGGUCGGGUCCGAAUCUAUUACUUCGGGUCCCGGGUCUGUUUAACAUUGUGUGUAAUACCAACGCAUUCUCAUCCUUUAGCGUCAUAUAGG